GGCUGCCUCGCUGCCCUGCCGGGACAGCUCCCGGCCGAUGGGCCGGGUGUCGGUGCAGCCCGCGGGGCACGGUAACUCUGGAGUCAGGGGUACGUGGCUGAAGUCAAGUGUGCCCCUGAAAUAUGCACGGUUUCGAGGUGAGGCAGAAAACUUGUUUAAAAAUGCCAAAGACAGUUGGUUUGAAUUGUUUGCCUAAAGAUGAUGAACUCUAGAAACAGGGGCACAAAUGCUGGUCACUUCUAGAUUAGUAUUCUACUGUCUGGAAGAGAUGUUGCACACUUUGAAGCUUUGUAGAAGAUCCUUAAAUCAAGGCUGAUGCUACUUGCUUUGUUUCAACGACAGCUGACCCUGUGUUGGUACACUUUGAAGGAGGAGCUGCUAAGGAGUGCAUGGAGGAAAUUCAUGGUUCAUAUCAGCUGAGAUGAAGUAACUCCUUAGACUUUGACAGAAGAAACAGACUCAAAUCACUGGUGUUCUAUUCCACUGGUUUUGGAAGUCCCACAGCUUUUUGUUCAAUAGCCUCCAUAUUGAUUUUAAAGGAAGAUGAUGAUAAUUCAUUUCCAUGCAGUCUCAAAGUUUGUUUUCCCUAAUGGAGUAAUUCAUCAUCACAGAAGGAAUCACUGAUACAUCUUGGAUUAUGCGAGGAGACUUCAGAAACAUAUGAAGAAGGUGCCUAGGACACUGCUCUACCAAGAAAAAAACCAACUGCUAAGACCACAGAAUGGAGUAGCAGAAGAUUACAAGUUACCACCAAGCUUUUACAGGGUUGAUGCAGAAAUCUGUCUUCUGUUCAGAAUCUGUUGUAUUAUGGCACCAUAUGCUGUGAAUACUUUACAGCUUCUGUGAAGAGGACAUAGCAGAUACUGCUGCUGCUUGUCCUACAAACAAGGUCUUUUUGCUUCAUACACUAAAAUAAUGGCAACAGUAGACUGUUGUCAGUAGUUAAAAUAGUGAACGUAUCUUCUGCAAAUACCUUUACUGAUGACCUGCACAGAAGGUAUAGCUAAGUCUAUGUUCCUGGGCCCAGAAGGACUCUUAACAGGUAAAACUCAGAACAUUUUUUUGCUUAUAAACUGAUGCUGAGGUAACAGUUACCACUUCAAGAAUAGUGUAACACUUCUUUGAAAGCUUGUUUUACAACUUGUGACAACAGCUGAUUUUUCCUAACUGUCAGUAGCAUGAAAAGCCAGACUCUGCACUGUUGCUGCCUACAUGAGGGAUGAACUCCUUCCUGUAACACAUAUGGUUUCACAUCUUUUUAUCAAAACCAUGUUACUGUAGGACUGUUUUGAGCUGAAGAAUCACUUGGAGGAAUGACUAGAAAAUGCUAUUUGCCAAAAAUGUCUUGAAUUCUAAUGCAUGUUUUUGUGGCAUCCCUUGGGCAGCAGCUGGCAAAAGCACUGCCACCCUAAGCAAUCUGGAAAGGACAUAGCUGAGGAAAAUGAGGUACAGGUUCCAUAUUUCUCUCACUGGGAAACUUACUGUUUCCUGUAAGCAAAGGCUGGUAAUUAGGCAUGUGCAGUAGUGACAAGUUUUAGCUCAUAGCUAGGACAGGAGACAUCCUCCAUGUUCUCCCAUCGUAUUAAAGAUACAACUUCUAUUUAGUUUGAUGGUCGUCUCAAGUAUCUUGCAAAAUACCAAGAAAUUAGCUCUAAUGGCCCAUCAUCAUGAAUUUUUUUUGUGUUUUCUCCUCUGUGAGAAAGCUGUGGCAAAUACAUAUUCUUCCCCUUAAUCUGUAGGGAACACUUGUGCCCACAUUCAUUUUUCCCUGUAAUUUCCUUAUUCUAUCUCCUGUGAGUGUAGUGUUUGCUCUAUACUACCUCUAUACUCUCUAAAAAAAUUAUGCCAGACUAACAACGGCUGCCUGAAGCCCGAGUUUCUUGUGCUAGAUGUACAAGAUGCAGUUUUUACAUUGAGAAAUUUUCUGCAUUUUAGUCCUGAAAUAAAACUGAAUUUAUUCUGUAAUCCCACUAGAAGCAGACAUCCAGUCUACUGUUUCUAAUCAAGUGACUCAGAGCAUGGAACUUUGAUAUUCAGCAGGGAAAAAAGUGUGAUAGUACUCGGCCCACCCAUGGGAAUAGACUUGGUGAGACUUCAGAGGGAUGUCAGCUGCAGAGAUGGCAGAUCACAGACGACAAGACUCCUCCUGUACUCAGCAGAAGAUAAGAAUCAAGCCCUUGGACUACUGCUUUCCUGCAUGACAAGAAUGGUACCUCUAUUGCAGCGAUAUCCAACCAGUUGAGAAAGUGAAUUUAAUAAGUCAUUACUUACUAAACCUCUACAGGUCUUGGGAUUAGUAGGAAACAGAUUCAAAAACAUUUGUUCAGUUUCAACUUCUGUUCUGUGCUCAAAGCUUAGAAGGACUGAACGAUACAGACUGCUGAAGAAGUACUAAAUUGUCUACUCUUUUUGACUGGUGGAACAUUAGAAAUUAGAAAGAAUUACUUUAAUCUUGUCAUUAAUUCUUCUGCACACAAAACAAGAUAUAGGCUUACUAACGAAGACAUAAUGUACAGAAUUUGAUAGCACUACAGACAGCAUAUCCUCUAAUCAAGAUUUUUCUCAAAUAAACAGUUUUGCCUGAUCUAAUUCAUUAGUGAAGCAAAUCAAUUUAGUAAAGGCAUAGGGCACUACGGACACCUCAGUUUACUAAAGAUGAAAGGUUUUGGAGAAAUCACCUUUCUAUCCACCUUCUCUGUGAUGAUUUUAAAUACACGAAAGAGUUCAUAAUGAUCACUAUCCUUUAUCACUUAAAAAUCAAUCUUUUCAAAUGCUCAAUACAGGCAUGGUUUCACUCUGUUACCUUAGAAGAACUUUGGAACUCAACUGCAAAAGUACAGACAAUAUAAAUCAGCAUUUAAAUUAUAUAUUACAUGUUUAUUAUGGGUGCAAAUUUUUGAAAUUUACAUUUUAUGAAAAUUCAGAUUAUUUACAAUUUUUGAAAGAUAAACUUGUAUGCUCUAAUUUACAGUCUAGCAUAGUAACAAUUCAUACAAAUUCAGAUCCUUUAGAGUUGUGUUUACAAAUUAAUUUUCUUAGGAGGCAGCUAUGAGUGAUAUUGCUGUAUACACAAGCAAGAACCAGCUUGCUACAUACUUUUUUUAUUCAAAAUCAGAUAACUACGUGUACUUUUUACAUUGUUUUUGAGUUUCUUUACAAAAUGUCUAUAUAAACUUGUAUGGCUUCAAAAUUGUAACCUGCACCCAAUGCAAAUGUAUGAAAAACACCUGAAUGAAGGCUAAUUUAAAAGUGCUGAAGCAUUAACUACUUCAUUUGACUUAGAAAUUAAUGUAAUACUUGAUUAAAAAUGGCAAUAAUAGGUUUGGGUUUCCAUUAAUAAAAUAUUGUUGUGUUAAUCUGUUUGAUUGUAAAGCAGGUUACAAUUAAAAUUCCAAUAAAAAGACUAACAUUUUAUGAGUUGUAAAUUUACCGUCAAUAAGAUUAGCAAAAUAUAGGAGCCAAAUACACUCUUCCAAUCAAAUCUACAGUACAAUAUGUUCUUAGUACUAAAAAUGAAAAUCUCUCUGGCAAAAGUGUUAAGUGUACAUGACGAUUUAUGCAGCUUCUACAAAGGCAUAAUUUCAUGUAAAGCUUCAGCAGUCAAAUUCAUUACUGGCUUUGCAUGAAUUAACUCAAGCAUGUUUUUCUGUUUUAAUAGAGAAUUUGAAAUAGAUACUGGUACGCUAAAUGUUCACUUGAAAUUGCCACAUGCAGGUUAUUGAACUAUUUUGCCCCAAUGCUUAUGAUUUCAACAUUACAAAAAACCAACUUGGUAAUACAAAUACAUAGAAAAUUUUCUAAAUUACUGACUUG